rnacentral:pre_miRNA from 1 species
CACCUACUCCCUCCGUUCGGAAUUACUUGUCGUGAAAAUGGAUGUAUCUAGAUGUAUUUUAGUUCUAGAUACAUCUAUUUUCGAGACAAGUAAUUCCGAACGGAGGGAGUACUUG